rnacentral:misc_RNA from 1 species
CUGUAAAAACUGAUGAAGAUAAUAUUUAUAUCAGUGUGAAAGGAGGUGUAAAACCUGAUGCAUCUGCAGAAAUAGUGUUUAGUGGGAAGGCUCAACCUGGUGUGACUGCAACUGAUGUCAAUGUGGAUGAGGUGAGAAUGGUAGUCGAUGAGGAGCUAGAGGGGUUUGGCUUCACUGGCAAGAAUGAAUUGAUAAAUGGGAAGGCAGCUGUAAUUGGAUUCUUGCUGUUAUUAGACUUUGAACUCUUGACUGGGAAAGGUCUCCUCAAGG